AAUGAACGCUGGCGGCAUGCCUAACACAUGCAAGUCGAACGAGAUCUUCGGAUCUAGUGGCGCACGGGUGAGUAACGCGUGGGAACCUACCCCGAGGUUCGGAAUAACGGCUGGAAACGGCCGCUAAUACCGGAUGUGACCUUUUGGUGAAAGAGUUUAUCGCCUUGGGAGGGGCCCGCGUCCGAUUAGCUUGUUGGUGUGGUAACGGCGCACCAAGGCGACGAUCGGUAGCUGGUCUGAGAGGAUGAUCAGCCACACUGGGACUGAGACACGGCCCAGACUCCUACGGGAGGCAGCAGUGGGGAAUAUUGGACAAUGGGGGCAACCCUGAUCCAGCAAUGCCGCGUGUGUGAAGAAGGCCUUAGGGUUGUAAAGCACUUUCAGUCGUGACGAUGAUGACGGUAGCGACAGAAGAAGCCCCGGCUAACUCCGUG
rnacentral:rRNA from 1 species